GGUUGCAUAGCUCAGUGUUAGAACACUUGUCUUGUAAACCAUAGGCUGUGUAUUCAAAUCUCACUGAUCAACUA